rnacentral:RNase_P_RNA from 1 species
GGACCAGGCCGGGCGAUCGCCGGCUUUCAGGGCCGGAGGAAAGUCCGAACGCCGCAGGGCAUGGCGCUCCGUAACGCGGAGUCGCGGUGACGCGAAGGAAAGUGCAACAGAAAGCAUACCGCCUAAGCGCGCUCUCGAAAGCGGGAGCGCGCCGGCAAGGGUGAAAAGGCGCGGUAAGAGCGCGCCAGUUUUCCGGGCGACCGGAAAAGCUAUGUAAACCCCGCCAGGCGCAAGACCAAAUAGGGAAGCGCAUGAGGGCGGCCCGUCCGAGCUUCCGGGUAGGUCGCAAGAGGCCCCGGGCAACCGGGGUCCUUAGAUGAAUGAUCGCCGCCCGUUUCAAGGGCGACCUGAAACGGGAACAGAAUUCGGCUUACGGCCUGGUCCGGCC